rnacentral:rRNA from 2 species
UCCCGGGCCUUGUACACACCGCCCGUCACACCAUGGGAGUGGGUUGCAAAAGAAGUAGGUAGCUUAACCUUCGGGAGGGCGCUUACCACUUUGUGAUUCAUGACUGGGGUGAAGUCGUAACAAGGUAACCGUAGGGGAACCUGCGGUUGGAUCACCUCCUUACCUUAAAGAA